AGUAACGGCGGCGCGUUCGGACGCCGGCAGCGAGGCGGGCCGGGCCGGGCCGGGCCGGGCGGUUCCUCGGCCAGUCCCUGGCUGGUCCGUCAGUCCCGGGCAGCGCCGCCGAACGGGGCUCCCCCGCAGCGGGAGGACGGAACUAGGCACAGCCUCUGUGGAGAUCCGUUUCCACAAGGGCUGUGGCCUGCCCCAGCAGCGCUGGCUCUCGUCGCAGGCUCUGGGAUGACCACGAUAACUUCUUCACGCGGAGGUGCAGAAGUGAUCCGUGCCAGAAGAACAGAACCGCGUGAUGUUUCGGAUAUCGUCAGCCUCUUCAGCAGUUUUACAGACGAACUUCUCGGAAGGGUUGAUGUCGCCUACCUUUUAGAGAAAUCAAAUCUUGCUCUGACGCUCUGCAACGAGAAGGAGGUGGUUAUAGCCCAUGCUGUCUUUCUGGACUAUCCAAACUGGGAUAUCACGGAUCAGUCUAAGUGGGAAUCAUUCUUACAUGCAAACUACGUUAACAAUGAAUGCACUCCUUUGAACACCUUGUUCCUGCAUCUUUUUGUGGCAGAAGACAAAUACGCAGCUGGAUGUCUCCAGGAAGUCGCUAGGACAGCUUUUGUCACAGUACCAGAACUGCAGUUUAUACUUUUCUUCGUACCAGCUGAUGAGAAUUUAGAGCCAAACGUAAGGAAUGUCUUUGAAAAGAUGCCGACUGCUCCAGGUUCUGUAGUGGAUAAGAACGUCACCUUGCUCGUGUGCCCCAGGCAUCGGUGCCACCCGCAGCUCCAUGUCCGCACGGCACGGUUGGAAGAUUAUGAUGAUCUCACACAAAUCUGGACCCUGAAAGAAACCUGUAGUAAAUAUUUCCUUGCUAAUCUCAUCGAGUGUCAAGAUGCAGAACAUCAGACCGUUGUUUGUGAGGACGGUGGCGCUGCGGUGGGAUUCAUGAGCCUGUGCUCGCAAGUGAACGUUUCCCUGUUUCAAGAGUGCUUUGACCUGGGGCCUUUUCACGGCCUCUGUAAACCGCAUCCUGGCGUUCUCGAGAUGCCGCAAGAGCCGAGCAUUCAGGAAGAUGGAGAUAAAAGCAAUCAAGCAAGUCAAGAAACAGAGUGUGCUUCAUCACAAACCUGUGCACAUACUGGUGGUCAGGAGGCAGCUGUGCAGCGAGACGGAGCCGUCGGCGUUUCCCGUGCCGAGCUGCUGGCUGGUGGUGGCGGGGGCGCAGGUUCCGGAGCCGCAGCACCAGCAGAGCGGGGUGCUUGUCGUCCAGCGUGCGGAGGAGCGCCCAACGCUUUCUGCAUCCGCGUGUUCUGUAUCGAUGAGAAGCAUGAAACUAGAUCACUGGAUUUUUUGGAACAUGUUUUCAAGCUUUUUCCGGACAAAGACUUCUGUGUCAUCCUUGUUCCACAUAAUGUACCGGAGUUCCACCUGAUCCAGAGUUUUGUUCGGGUUGUCCCUUUCUGUACUUCCCAAUGUGACCACGAGCUGUACGUGUUCCACCGCGCGGGACUGCUCAAGUCGUUUAAUGUAAGAAUGGCAACAACCAAUGACGUACUUGGUGUCAAAAUGCUCGUUAAAACCCUUAGCUUGAAUGAAAACAUAUUGAAUGACUUAGAGAGAUUUAAUCUGUUUCGCAGGGAUCCGGAUGGGACCCCAGUGCAGGCUUUCGUAGCAGAAGUUUUGGAUCAAAUAGUUGGUAUUUCUGUUAUUAGAGAUGAAAUGGAUACUGAGUAUGUUCGAUCACAUUACAACAUUGAAGAUUUUAUUAAUUUCAAUUUCUACCAGCAAGAGGAACAUGGACAUCUUUGCCACUUCGUCUUAAAUCCUAUAUUUCAUCAUUAUACAAAACACUUUCUAAAGGAGAUUCUUCGCUUGGCCCACAAAUCUUCUCUUUACUAUCGUAUUUAUCCACAGCACGUGGAAGGCGAGUUUCAGAGUCCCCGGGCCCGUUCCCUGACAUCUGCCCUUCAUUACAUGGUUCCCGUGCGACCGAGACGACAGAUUGUCUAUCCCCGGGCAGAGCUUGGCAUCGGCGCUCCGUCGGAGCAGGUCUCCAGGGCUCAGUUGAGUUAUUCACUGAACCACAUAAAUCGAAAACUGCUCCUGGAAUCCAGAGCUGCUAUCAACACUAGAAUUGUGGUGGUUGGUGCGUCCGACGUGGGGAUCUCGUUUCUGGAAACACUUGUGUUUUGUCCCCAUCUGAAGUUCAACAAUCUGACCUUGAUCUCCACUCAUGGCCUUCCAGGAACAGACCCGCUGGCCUCCAAACAUAGAAGAUUUUUAAUUAACAGCCACUGUUUUAAUGAUGAAGAUUAUGCACAGAUGUCACUUUGUUCCUGGGUUAAUGUUGUGGUUGGUAAAAUGACUGGCAUCAAUCGUGCUGCCAAAUAUGUAGUUGUUUCCAAGGCGAGAAGAGUACCGUAUGACUACCUGGUUCUCUGUACGGGACAGAAAUACCAGGUCCCGUCUCCCACUGGAGCGGAUAUCAGCAAACUCCCAACUAACAGAGAAGUCAUGAGUAAGUGGCCGCAAAGAUACGCGGGGCAGGUCCCGUGCAACCACUUCACCCUCAACGACGAGCAGGACUGCUCCAGGGCAGCGCGCUGGCUGCGGGAGCACCUGGCCGGCUCCGAAGGGAACGUCAUUGUCUAUGGGAACACAAUUGACAUUUACACCACGGUAGAAGCCCUCUUGUCUCUCGGAAUCGCCGGCUCCCGCAUCCAUCUGGUGCAUCCUCCCGCUGGCUCCAGCGUCACCUGCCUGAACAACGCGGCGCUGGAGGGCGCCGUGCAGGACGCCCUGUCCCGCGCCGGCGUCUCGGUGCACCGCGACGGCGUCCUGGCGCGCUGGGGCUGCGACGGCCACGCAGACCGCAUCACCUGGGCGGCUUUCACCACUGACACUAAACCCUUUCAGUUGCAGUGUUCAGCAUUUUUUAACUUUGCCUACCGGAGAGUGGAUUUCGAAACCUUCAAGGCGAUCAGCGAUGCUCGCCUUGUGUUUGACGGGAGGCUCGUGAUCGAUACCCAGUUCCGCACCAGCGAUGCCAGCAUCAGGGCUGCCGGGCCCCUGACCAAGUAUUCCCGGAGGUACUACGCAGACGGAUGGACGCACAGCAACUUCAGCUCCAGGGAGGUCGGCUUCGAGCUGGCUGCGUCCAUGCUGGGGCUCUUCCACCCGACCCGUGCGCCCUCUCCUAGGCCACCAGAAGGGACCGAGGGACUCAUCCCCAUGUACAGCGGGUGUAAAAUCAAAGGAGGUGUUCUUCCUGGCGGGUAUCAUUUCGUGCAUAUUUCCAAACCAGAAAUCCCCAUCCGCUUGGACUUGGAACUUGCGCUGCAUGAUCACGGCACAGAGAUGGUCACCGGGGAGGCGCGACGCGGGAAUUACUUCAGGAUGCACAUCAACAAGUACGGCGUGGUGGACAGCAUCACCUGCUUCUCAGCGGAGCCCGUGCCCGUCUCCAACUACACCUGCCUGUACGGACAGCACGAGCGUCUUCUUAAUGAUCUUUAUUAUCGCUGGAGUGAAGGGCAGAUUACAGAUUUCUACAGCUACUUCAGGGAACCUUGGUCCAUGGCCAUCUAUCACGAUCGCUUUAUUGAUCUCAAGAAGGAGCUGCGCCAAAUCCUCGUGUUGGAGCAGGUGCCCGGGCUGACCCCCGCCGAGCCACCCCAGGACGAGCCCGACGAGGAGAGACCCUGCCCGCCCUCGCUGCAGGACGCCGUCGUGCGCUACCUGUGCCGCCACCGCUCACACCUGCCCAUGUAUGCCCAGGCCAGGACCAACGCCGCGGCCCCAAUGGCGGCAGUGGUACAGCCCCCUCGCCUCCAAUGGGGCCGUUCAUGGCGGGUUUGUGGGACCCGGAGUCACUUGGCAGGUCGUUAGGAGCCGAGGAGAGGCCCAGGGAACCCGAGAAGCUUCUGGAAUGCCCACAGCCAGACCUGAUCAGACUACGCACCGGGGCCCCUGCCGAAGAGCCCCUUUCGUGGUCUCGGAGCCGCGAGUCUGUGCCGGAGCCCUCCCCUUGGACUGGGAGCGCCCGCCUCCUCGCGUGGUUCUCCAUGGCGCCCACCCAGCCGGUGACAUCCGCCAUGGCAGUGUCACCGCGUCACCGCCUUGCACACCCCAGCUUCAACCUGUCCCCACAAAACCACGUUCCAGCAACAGCCGGUGUGUCCCAGCAGCCACAGCACCCGGCACCGCAGCACCCAGCACCCGGCACCGCAGCACCCACCACUGCAGCACCCGGCACCGCAGCACCCACCACUGCAGCACCCGGCACCGCAGCACCCGGCACCGCAGACACCCCACCCCCCAGCAUCUCCCCGCGGGUUGGUCGGUGUCGGCUCCUGUCCUGUGACGCGUGGCGGGUUCUGCCUUCGCCCUGGCCGUCCUCGUUCACUCUGAGUGCUGCAGGAUGUUCACAGGCGGUGACGAGCAGAGGCCAGCGCUGGCCAGGCUGUGUGAGGGAGCACAGACGGGGACGCAGCGACUACAGCACCACGUACACGACUCUGCAGCUCCCGCCUGUCCCUGCGCACCGACACCUGCGGCAGCCCGGCCCGGCUGAGCCGCCUUUCCCGGCUCCACCACGGUACGGAGCUUUUAAACUGUAUUUUUAAACCAUGUUAUGAUUCUAAGUCUUAACACAUGGGUUUCAUUGGAGGUGGGAGGGAGGAGCAGCCUCACACCUGCGAGCCCGUGGGGAGGAGGAGGAGGAUGAGGAGGAGGAUGAGGAGGAGGGCUCGGAGCACGCGACCCACUCUCAACUCCAGACUGGAGGGGCCGUUUUGCAGCACAAGCCUAUUUCCAAUUGAACAAUAAGCUGUAUUUUCAGGCUGCACCUUUAUUUGCUGUUAGUUUAUGUAAGUGAUGAUUACAGGGAUAUCUUUAAUGCUCCCUUCAACUUUACCAGCCCCAGUGACUCUCAAAUGUGCAGAAAAUGCACCAAAACUCACUACGAGGCCUAUAACCUUGUCCUCGUGCGCUGGCCGACUCGAGCUGCCCCAAUGGUGCGCAGCAGCAAAGGGAACAAUGCUGAGGUCCGGCUGCAGCUGAACCCAAAGAACAUCUCGCUCCUUGGAAACCUCUCAGCCCGUUUGCAAACCAGCAUUUGCAUUUCAAAGACAACCUUUACUCACCAGAUUUAUACUUCAAGACAAUUGUCCGAAGGGGAAAUAUCGCAUUCAAAAGAAAGGUGAAAAAUGUGACUUAGAGUGCAAAGGCAUUUUCAGUGAAAAAUGUGGAGCUGUCAGUUUUGGAUUAAAACCCAAACCUGCGGCGCUGCUCCCGGGGAGGAGAGCCGGGGGGCAGCGCGGCGAGGGAGGUGUCGGACUUACAUUCCUGCAGUUCAGCGGAAUGGCAGAUGGUCAAAAUAAUACAGUUUUCAGCAAAUGGACAAGCUCAAGCAAUAUUCAUGCAAGUGCAGAACAAUGCACGGGCUGCGCAUAUGAAAAGCAGGCGGGGGCCGGGGCAGCUCCUCGGUGCAGCACCCGCGGCAUCGCCGGGCAGCGGCACAUUCCUGCAGUCCCGGCCGCUCCGGGAGCGCUCGGCUGCGCCGCGGCCUCCGAGCCCCGGAGCCGUGAUUGAUGGGACACGGCAGCUGCGGAGUGAGCGGCACCGGCCACGCAGGAGAAGGGCUUUCAUACAAAUAUUGUAAUUCCACUCGCAGGCUGUCUGGCGGAGCUCUGAGGACUCGGCCUUCCCGCCGGCAGCUCCGCGCAGGGCCGGGCGAAGCGGGGCUGCCGCGCCGGCAGCGGCGGUGACGCUGAGGGUACCCAGGGGUUAUUCUCUGGCUGCGUCUCCCAGGGUGCGCGGGACCGUGAGCUGUGAGAAACAAGCAGCAGCUCCGCAGUGGGGCAGUAAAGAAAAAGCACUGCGUUCUGACUCAGAUGUGGAAGAGCCGAGUGCUUUGAAUUUACAGCGGUGGUGACAGGGACAGGCAGAGACAGACCCAGAGCCACCCAGCACAGCAGGAGGAAGAGGGGGAGAAGAGCUGGGAGCGAUGGAGCACAAGGCCAGCAGCAGCUCUUACCUGCGGCAAUUACCGUAACGAGACCAUUACAUAUUCUAAUCUAAAGGGAGAGAACACAAAAUCGUGUAAAUACAGGAACAGCACACGCGUUGCGCUCGCGUGAAGGUCGGGCUGCUGCUGGCACAGCAGAAACCGGCAAACACGAGAGAAAGGUCAUCUCUGUCCCCUCAGGGACCUGGGGGACGUGGCACCCAUGGGCCUUUUCCUGCCCCCACGCGUCUGUCAAUGGAAAAACAGGGAGGUAACGGUGGUGAAAACUGGAACAAAUCAUCAUCCCUUCAUCCUGUGCCAAACUUGCCGAGAUGGCCCAGCAGGACCUCAGCAGCCUCUUUACAGCAGGGUUUCCAACACUGUUAGUGACAAUACACCUGGAAACUGGGCAAAAUUUGAGGCUUCAGAGGCCUAAACCGCGAUGACGCUGUAGGCAGGUUAAAAAACCAGGAGGUGACCAAUACGGAGACCACUGGGACACGGAGAUUUCCCAAAGGCCGUGUGGGUGCGUGGGGUGACGCUCGGGGCCUCGGCCGCCUCCUCCAGGUACAGACGCUGUGCGGGAUCAACGGGGAGCUGUUAGAAUGCGUGUUCCUUCGGGGGGGAGUAGAAGUUCAGUUAGUAAUACAGAUAAAAAUACACUUUAAACAUUUUAUUUCUGAGAGGUAGAGAGAGCUUAUUUUAUUUCAAAUCUACUGAACAGAACCAAGUGGGUUUUUCCUGCCCUAGGAGAAAAGAUCUUGCUCUUCUUGUGAAGCAGAUGAACAAAGCCCAGUGACCGUGUGUCCCCGCUGCUGCUGGGGACCCCCCGCACACCCCGCACACAGCCGCUCCUGCCCCGACGAACCCGCUGCUCCAGCACCGCCUUCCCACCAACUCAGGAAAGUGCUGCUCUCUCAUGGAAACACACAAACAUCUUACAGUCAACAUGCAGGACCUUCCUUGGUAUCCCCUCGUCUGCACCUACCAGAGCGGUGCAGACUCCUCACACCGCCCCGUGUGCGAGCAGGGUGCUGAAGGCAGGCACCGCUGCCCGAGUGGGAAGAGGCAAAGCGGUGUUCGCUGCCGGCGCUGCCGCGGCACCGCAGAGCCACGCUGCACCUCUGUGUUCUUUCUAACGCUCAGCGCCAUCCAGCUUCCCUAAAAACACACAGAAAUACUAUACAAAACCUGGAGACGCUUCCAUUGCACCCGGUACAUAGAACUGGCAAAGCACCCUAUGCAUUUUCAAAGAAAAAGCACAAACAAAGAAGUAAAAAAAACCCAACCAAACCAAACCUCCCCCAAAAGCAGAAAAGAACUCAAACCAAAAAGAAUCAUCGCUCAGUUAGCAUUAGAAAGAAGGUAAGUCUAAGACAACCGUUUCUCCAGGUUUUGUUUUGUUUCUGUCAAAAAUCUGUUUUAAAAGUACACGGCCCUUUGAAAUAUUCCUUUUGCUUUAAAGUGGGAAAGGUAAAGCUCAACACUUAGCAAAAAGUGUAUUAAAAUAAACAAAAUCCUGUUUGUUGCACAGUCAAGUAUUCUCGACAAGAAAUCCACGCAUGUCAGAGUCCGGAGACAAAGCAAAGUGCGUGUCGCCUUUUCAACAAAAAGGCUGCAAAAUCUCAGUUUUAUGUAAAUAAGCAGCACAGCUUCCGGGGCUGUAAACCCGGGCAGCGCUGGAAAGGGCUCCGGCGCCGCUGCUCAAGUGUUGCUGAGGGCAGCGCUCUAAUAUUCAUUAGAGAAUCCAUUUAUCAACAGAUACCACAUGUCAGAGUUCUCCCGACACCGCUGAAAACGCUGCUUUGAAGGAACGAAAGCGGGAGGCGAUCACCCGAGGUGCCGCCGCAUCCCCGGCAGCUGCCGGCACCCAGAGCCCGCCGCAGGAGACCCGUGUGCGCGCAGCGCUGCGGCUGCCCGCGGCUGAUUAGCAUGCACCGGGGUGACCUCAUGGCAACAGAUGCACUUGGAUGUGGCCGUGAUGAGAUCAGCCCGAGUCAAGUGUGCGGCUCCUUAACCCUUCGCAGCACCGGCCCAGCUGCACGCAAAACCUGCCCCUGCAGAUCCAGACCCCAAACACAAACCCUCCUCUGCUGGGAAAUUCGCUUUUCCUCGCUACAGCAUCCGACCACUUGUGGUGUCUGAGGGUUAACACGACGCUGCCUUCCGAUCUUACAUGAAAACAAAACAACAAACGCUUUUUAGUCGGCAGAGGUGAUUCAGGUUGGAACUGUUUUGUAUCUAUUAGUGCCUGUUUCACGUUCACGUUUGGGUUUUGUUAAAGAACACACAAGUAUUUUGUUGACUAGCUGUUCCUCAUUUUGGCUGAAAGAGCAAGAGAACAAGAUAGCAGCUUAAACCCGUGCUCCAAAAGGAGAGAAAUCUGCAGAGGGAAAGGAUCAGAAUAAUUCAAUAGUGCUGGAUUACGGCGGAUUUCCUGGGCUGACUCUCAUCCCCAGCCUAAUUAAAAUACAGCAUGUAAUGUACCAGUUUAACGACAAAGCCGCGUAUUCUCACCCUUUGUUCCCAGCCUGCACAUCCCCUCGGUGCGCGGGGGCUGCGUGUGCACCACGGGGACACGGGAUGGGACACGGGCUGGGACACGGGCCAUGGUGAUGGGGACAGGGGCAGGAGCUCAGGGCUCUGCUGAGAACAGCCCCAGAGCCCGACCAGCCGAGUGUCCUGUGUGAAGGUGGCACCUGCCGCCUGUUUGUGACACAGGUUCCUCAGGAACCGCAGCCCCCGAGCCGAGCGGAGCAUCCGCCAGCAUCACAAAACAUAAACCCAGCUCAUAGCUAAUAAUGCACCAAUGCUGUGUGUCAUUAGCAGCUACAGGUUCCGUUAAUUUAACAGUCUUGAUUUGCUUCUUGUACUGCAUAAACUACUAAAAACAAGCGUAGCAAAAAGUGUACUUACUCACUGACCCUUUCCGUUGUGCAGGUGUCACACAGCGAUGACAGGGUUGCAGUCAGCUGGUGUCAAGAAUAAGAUCCCAGGAGAAUUAACGCUAAAUUCACCUGAGCAGUGUAAGGCGGGCGCUGGCGGCUGCGGUGACCGACCCGAUGCGGUGACCGGCCCCACGCGGUGACCGACCCCACGCGCUGCCCGGCGCCACCACGGCGGCUCAGGGAAUGCACGUCCGAGCAUCAGCGCCCGGCCCCGCUCUCCGUAACACGCGGUAAACGUGCACGUGAAUCGGUGGGAACACGAGGAGACUCUGGAGCAGAGAUCCUGAGGCACAAGUCCUGACCGGCCUCCAGGCUCCUCGUGAGCGGGAAAUACCUUCUGAUGUUCCCAAGUCCGAACAUCAGGACCUGACUGUGGCAGGUUUAGUCUUAAAAAAAUGAAAUAAUGAAAUCAUAACAACAUGUUCAGGUACCAAUGAUUUAACAGUGUUCUCAAAAACUUAAGUAGAUAUUAGGGAACAUUUUAAAUAGUUUUGGAAUACAGAAUCACAGACUUUAGAAAGUGUGACCCUGAGAUCAUAGAACAAAUCUGCCCUUCCCUGUCAAACCGAACUUGUUCAUAGUAAGAUCAGUGUGUGCUGUAAGAAGAAUACAAAAACUAAAUACAGUUAUGCAUAGAGCAAAACAUUUAAAAUACAUCAAUGUAUCCACAUUUCUGUUCGCAGAUUUGUCAACAGAUAAAUGACUCAAAGUGCCAAUGACACUGGGCACGAAAUCUACAUUUCUCUUGAAGCUGAUCACUUUUUUUGUCUCUGACUUUUGGCAGCGCGUAUAAAGAAUCUAAUUCACAGCUGUUCUAGUUUUUAACGUAGCAAACGUUAAUCAGAGCUGUAAGUGACUGGUUUUCCACCACCCUUUGGUGUUCAGCACAGCAGAGAUCAGCAGAGGCUGCUCCUCCAGCCUGCUCCGGGAGUGAUUAUGGAGACGCCCCCGUCCCCCCACGAUGAUGGAGACGUCUUGUCCCCCUGAGAUUAUGGAGACGUCCUGUCCCCCUGCAAUUAUGGAGAUGUCCCCAUCCCCCCACUAUGAUGGAGACGUCCCCGUCCCCUCGUGAUGAUGGAGACGUCCCUGUCCCCCUGCAAUUAUGGAGACAACCCCAUCCCCCCACGACUAUGGAGACGUCCCCGUGCCCCCGCGAUUAUGGAGACAUCCCUGUCCCCCCGUGAUUGUGGAGACAACCCCGUCCCCCUGCGGUUACGGAGACGUCCCUGUCCCCCCAUGAUUAUGGAGAUGUCCCGUCCUGCCAGCUCCUUAUCUGCGCGCCGCCGGGCGCAGGGGCGCUGAUCCGACGUGCCGCAGCCGGGCCGGCGGCCAGCGGCCCCACAAUGCGCCGCCAGAUUAUCUGAUGCUUAUCCUGGCAAAUUUAAUUUCUCCCCUCGAUUUCUCAGUUUAGAUGGAAGAUAUUUGCUAACAAGCCGGGCUAAAGAGAAAUCGAGCAGAUGUCCUGCUACAUUUAUACACGUUUAAAAUAACCUGUUAAACAAUCCGAAGGGUAGCAGGGAAUAAUUAGAAGUGCCGGUUUCACCCUGCGAGUGUAGAAAAGGGAUUACGGAACCUCUGUGACAGAGUCCGGCACACGGUGCCCACGCGCUCUGCGGAGGCUGCAGAAACAAAUCCUGAGGGCACCAGAAAGCCGCAGUUCAGACUCAAGGUUCCUUUGGGGAGGGGUUUAUUUAAACUCGAUUUAACCAGCAGAGCAGCGGUUCCUAUCGCGCUGACUGCAUACGGGCUGGGAAUCUCACAUGUAAGGAAUACAUUUGGGGAGUUCAGCACUACGUGUUCGUCCUUCAGUUGGGCUGAUGAACGAUGAUCAGCGUUUACGUGUGCGUAUAUACGUCUCUGUCUCCAUAUAUACAUUAAGCCCCCGCAGGCCCAGGCCAGGUGUUGGCAGGACGCCCGAAAUGGCCCGUGUGUACCCAGGGCCGUGUCAGCGCGCUGCUGCAUCUCCUAACAACACCGUCCUUACACCGCUCCUGCAUUAAUCCCUGACCCUGGUAUCUCAGCAGCAUAAUCCCCAUUUAGCAUUAGCAGCAACGGCCUCCACUGCAAGGAACUAUUUCUCGAUAAGUAAGCACCGAUUCAGGCAUCGCUUUUGAACAACAUAUUCCCAGCUCAGCAAGAAACCCACCGUCCUGAAUGAGCCCAGGCACAUUACCGAGAGAAAGUUCAUUAACCUCCUUGGAUCCGGGGGUUAACAGGAUAGCUGAAGAAAGGAGCGCAGUGAAUAGCUCUGAUGCAAAACAAAUUAAAAUGAAUGUCAUCACUCCUUUUGAUAUUCAUUAGUUGAUUCAGGGGAAGAAUGGUCGUCUUAAAUUUGCAAGCAUUUAUCUACAAAAAACAGGUGUACAUCUGCUGCUCGAGUGCUUCUUAGUGCUAAAGAGAAGAAUAACGUGCAGAGACUCACCAGUUCCGCCCAGGGAGUAGCCGGGAGAGGGAGAAAAGACCUGAGCGGCGAAAUCCUCAAAUGUCAUUACUUCUUUGUGGUUCUGGAUUAUUGCUUCGAGGUACAGAGCUCUCUCCUCGUAGCUGCAGCGACCGGGUUAAGGAAACGUGUGUGCAGAAUUACACGCUGUGACACAACGCCCGCCAGCACCCGCACGUCCCAGCCGCAGCAACCUAAACCAGGCUGGGCACGGAAACCGGGACCCGAGCGGGACCCGAGCGGGACCCGAGCCGCCUGUCCGGCCAGCAGCUCCGAACACGCAGACGGCUGGACAUGGGGAGAAGCUCCGGCCUCUGGAAGGAAACGCAGGGACUGGGCAGGUCCCACGGCCUGCUGAAGUCACCCAGCGCAGAUACGGCCCCCGGACCACCGGCUUGUUUAAACCAAACCCAACUUGCACAGACGAGCCGUGGCAUGACAGAAGGUUCCUGGUACGCAACACGCCUGUUACAACGAUACCGUCCACCUAGAAACAUUAUUAGAAUUGAGAAACAAGCUACAAGACAGAGAAGACACCCCCUCCCCCCCCACAUUUAUUUGAUCACUGUACUUGUUAAAAUAAAUGUAAUGAACACAAUUCCUGAAAAUAUGAGGUUUAUAUUUAUGGCAGGUGCUAGAAGGUGCAGUCUUAUGUGUCCUAAAUAAAUGAUGCACGCUGGAAAAAUCCGCCCCCCCAACUGCAGGCAUUAUAGUCUGCAUAAUGCAGACAACAAAGCAAUCUAAAAUCGAGACUAUAGCCUUUUAAUUAAAACUCGGCAACCUGGAACACACAGCAUUCAAAUGUGUAAUCAAAAACCAGUCGCCAAUAAAACUUACAAGCGUAACAAGCUGAAGCAACUUUCCAGCUGUCUUAAUAGGACCCCUGCUUGCGGCGGCUUUUCAGAGCGGAGAAAGCAAAUCUUGGCCCUUUGUCUGCAGCUUCUGUUUGCUCAGAAGGUGAAUCAUACACUUCCAAUAACAGGAUCACGUCUGAAACGCGUCUACAAUGGGCCGGAGAACCCCGCGUAUGACUUUAUGAAUUGGCGCUCGCAGGAGCCCCUGUGACAUCUCAUUCUGCGCUUCCUCGUUUGAAACGCAAGUUCCCAGCUCCUCGGUGCGACUGUCCCGGACCCACACGGGAGCCACGGGCAGCUCAGAAACCGAAACCAGCAGCAGGGAGAGUAACAGCAGUGACAGUGCAGCGCGGGUGAGAGCGCUGAAAGUGGAGAAGCAUUACGAGUUAAUACUGAAGUGCCGUUUGUAACUUUCGUCGCAGUAACGAAAGCACUUCGAGACAGUGUUUAAAACAAAACAAAACAAAAAGCCAAACCAAAACAAGAUAAACACCCAAACCCCAAAAAACAAACCAACAAUAAAAUCCAGAGCAAAGCAGUACUUAAAAGCAGGACGCGAUGGUCUGGUGUUCUACCCCAAGGGGAACGAGCAAAGCGCAUCCUCACUGUACACAAGUUCCUAUAGGCACCAUGCUAAAAAAGAAGAGAAUCUGCUUUUAGUGCAGCAGAGGCCGAUUGGUACGUGAUAAAUCCUCUUACGAACCCGGGGAGGCCUGCAGAAAGAAAAUCAGCGUUCCAGGGUGCGCGCUGCCGACGGCCGCUGCCGCGCUGUUCCGAGCCGGCCGGGCCAGGAGCGCGCGCGGGUGGCGGGGCCGGGGAGCGGGGCCGGGCUCCCGGCAGCGCCGGCACUCGUGGGGUCCCGUCGCCGCGUCACCGAGGAGCUGGCUGGCGGCUGUUGCCGGGGCGGCCGGACAGCGGGCCGGGCCGUCUGUCCAACACCCCCGCCACGCGGGGCCGGCACGUGCUGCGCAGCGGGGGCCGCGCCGGCCGUGACGAAUGGCUCAAAGGCUCGGCCGGCGGCUGCCCCGCACCUGAGCCCGCGCCGCAGCGCCAGCCCGCCAGGCGGGGAGCCCAAAAGGCUUCUCGUGCUGCGCCUAAUCGCAUCCUGCUGCUUCAGGAAAGCUGCGCGUCCAGCACAGCCGCGGACAAGGCGCACAGCAACUGCUGACGCAACAGAAGUUUGCUCUGGUUUUGCUAAAUAUUGCAUGGAAAAACAGCGGCAAGGUUGCAACUAGGGUAGCUUUACAUCUCGGAAAAUCCUUAUUUAUGAGAUGGAGAUGCCCCUGGCCACACAAAUGACUGGAAACAAACCACUCGGGCAAACAGCCGAGCAUCUGCAGCAGAAGCGUCUGAGCAGCCACGGGCUGAGCUUGAGCCAGGUCCUGCGCGGUGCGGAUCCACGGGCGGCUCUGGACGGGCCCGGUUCGGUGCGGAUCCAGCACAUGCACAUUAUGGAAAACAGUUUGAAACCACUAGAAAGUCAAGUAAAGUUUUCCCAAAGUUUAGGAAUUUUAACAGGGGCAUUAGGAAGAUAAUAAUCUGUAAAAAACCCUCUAAAAAUACCUCCAGCCCGUAAAGGCAGGUCAGUAGAGCAGCACGUCUCGAAUACUGACUGAGCUCCUACACCAAAUCUUUGUUCUGUCACUUAUUCUUGUGUACAAACAAACCCACCAUUUGCUGCUUAACUCCGUCCACGUCAGAAUCUCCUGUGGGCAUCGCUACGUUAGCCGUGGUGCCGUAGAGUCCCAAGCACCGUGUUUCGAGGAUCCGAGAGAACACAACACAUCUGAAGAAGAAUAAUAUGAAAUACGUGGGACUCAACCUUUCAAGCUCAUUUGUACAGGAGCAGCGUGAAACAUGAAUGUCGAGUUUCAGCCCCAAGAAGCACGUUUACCAGCACAUAAGCAAGCUUCCAUGCCAGUGCAGCAAGCUGCCGGGCUGCAGCCCUGGUAACCGAGCAGCGGUGCGGUUUCACGCGCACCCGUCGGAACGCAACGCUGACUGAGAAACACGGCGCUGCCCCGCACAGCCGCACCCCGCUAGCCGCGGGGCACCCCAGAGUUCCACCCACGCCGACAGGAGCCUCUUCCGACACGUGCGGCGCUUCCGCACACCCUCCACAGCUGCUGCUUUUUACAUUUUGCUCCUGCCGAGGCAAAGCUCCAGAGCAAAAUGUUUUCAAUGGGCACAAACGCUUUUGCUUCUUUCCUGUAUUAGAUGACAGAGAGAACCGUGACUAGGUGUGAACUACUGACCACCAAUACAUACAACCGCAGGAGAGGAAGAAUCUAGCCGCGAUUGCUGGGGCAGGCCUGACGGGCUCGGAGGCAGAGGAAACGCAGCGCUGUGCCCGACUUCUGUCUCGCCGAUUGCCUUCUUGGGGUUCCAGCACAAAGAACUACCCAUCGGUCAUUUCUCACCGUUACUCGUGUUUCAGCAUCCUCCUGACCUGCAUUACAAGGACCAAAGGUGGUCCCAUGAGAAGGGUUUGCUCCUGACACCGCAACAGCAGAUUUGCAAGCAAACAAGAACGUAAAUUUUGGGGACUUACCAAAGUAGAAUAAAGCAGGGACCAUAAAAUUGAGGUUAACAUAAAUGUAUCAGUAAUGACCUUUAUGCGGCUAAUAGUGUUCCUGGAGCUCGGAGCAGGGCAGAGUUACCACGCUUUUAAUGUGUUGGGAUAGGCAAUCGCAGUGUGAAACUCAAACUGCUCGGUGGGACUUGCCAGCAUUUACGGUCUGGUGACCACCAGCACUGCAUUCGUUUCACGGAAAACUUUUGGGGGAAUUUCAGUAACACGUAUCCUUCACCGAACAGGUGCAAUUAAACCGGACCUGUCAACA